rnacentral:lncRNA from 1 species
AAAGAAUUCAUUUAUUAUAUUUUUUUUGUGUUUGAUAAGACCUUCGGUAUUAUGCCUACCUACCAACAUAAAAAUGAGGGAUCAAAACCCUUUUAGUUCAUGGUAAAAACUUCAAAGAAGUUGGUGGAUUUAUUUUAACAAAGGUUUAAAAGGAAAAUGGGCAAAAUAUAUAAAUGAAGUUGUUAAAUCUUUUUGUCUUUUGUAAUUGAG